AAAUUACCGAUCGAGAUUUUUCCUUUUCUAGUCUCUAAAACCAUUUUCAAAAGAAGAGUUAUGAAACAGAUUUUUUUUAAAAAUGUCUUAAAACAGUUUUAUCAAAAUUGAUUUAUAAAAUAAUUUUUUUUAAUAUUUUUUGUCUCUCACUUCUCUCAUCCCUAUUUUGCUGCUUUUGUGUUCCAACAAGAAUUGAAGAAGAAGAAUCAUGGUGUGGGGUCUCUUCCCCGUCGAUGCUCCUGCAGGUGAAGAUAAGUACUACAUUUUCAAAACUGGAACUUACAAAGUUGGUCGAAAAGGCUGCGAUGUGAUCGUCACUAAAGAUAAAGGGGUUUCUCGGGUUCAUGCAGAAAUAGUUGUUAAUACAAUGAACAUGUUAAAACCUCUACCAGGUAUACAGAUAAGAGAUUGCUCCAAGUAUGGAACCUUUGUUAGCAAGAAUGUUGGACCUAAGAAAAAAGUUCAUGAGCUACCAAACAAAGAAACAGAAUUACAGGAUGGUGACCUUGUUUCUUUUGGCACUGGCAGUGCUACCUACAAGUUUUGCCAUGUCCCUCUCAUUUUUUUCAUCUGUCCCUCAAAUCAAGUGGAUCGAUCUCUUGAAGAGAAAAUUUCAUCAAUUGGUGCUAGUAUUGCUCAUACCUUGACUGAAGAGUGCACACAUGUGCUGGUAGAUCAACUUAUGCCCUUACAGAAGGAUCUUGUUGAUGCAGUUGUAGCAAAAAAAUCUUGUGUUCUCAAAACUUGGCUUGAGUGUUUUGCAGAUAAGAACAUUGGCAAUGAAAUUCCUAGCUGUCAUUCCAGACAUAUUUCAACAGUGUCAGUUGAAGGAGCAUCUAUCAAAGUUGUUGACCCCAAAGCUCGGGAAAACUGUUUAAAAGGAUACACUUUUGUGUUGGAAUCUGUGCAUUUGUAUAAAUUUGGGGAUCAGCUAAAGUCUUUACUGGAAGUAGCUGGUGCUAAAACUAUUUCAUUUCAAGAAUUCUCUUCGAAUAUCCUAGAUUCAGAUUAUGGAGAUGAUGAUCAUAUGGUUUGUGUCAUCCCAGGAGGACCGGCAUGCAAGCCUGAUCUCAUCAAUAAAUUAAGUUCCUUGCUAAAAGUCAAUGAGAUGGAUAUAAUAAAUGCUUCUCUCAGUGGACAUCUAGAUCUGUCUAUUUUAAAAUCUCCAUGCGUGAUUAUUUCAUCAUCAUGCUCUACAGAUGAGACCAUUGUAGCGGAUUCAGAUACUGAAGUUGAAACAGCUACAUCACCCAUAGCAAGUGAGGCAUUAUGUGGUGGCAAUAAUGUAAAAUAUGUAAAAACAGAAGAAUUAGAUGAUGAUUCCGGCACUUCUGACAAGAGAAAAAGUGAGAGAAUGGAGGCAUCCUUAGAUGAUGUUUCUACCAGAUCGCAUGAAAUAAAACGUGCAAAAGCAGAAACAUCCCUGGAUGCUGCUUCUGUACAAUCUGAUACACAUGCAACCAGCUUCAAGGAUAGAACUGACGGCAUCAAAGUGAAGAAAGACAAGGUUGAUAAUUAUGCAAGUGGAAAUUCAGAUAUUAUUUACAGCCAAGAUUUAAUUGUUCGAGAUAUAAGCAUACUUACCAACAGAAGUUCUGCACCAAACAGCAGCAUUCCAGAUUUCAAACGCUUCAGAAAGGCACAAACUCAAUCUGGAAAUAGUUUCAACAACCUUGUUCCAUUUGCAAAAUAUCCAUACAAGGAUUCUGGCUGUGAAAACGAUGAAACAGUUGAGUUUGUAAAGGAGGAGAAAAGGAGAAAGCAAAGAGAAGCCGUGGCCGAUGAUCUAUUUAAUAAUCAGAAGGCAAAGAAACGAGGCGCUGUUGGUUCUCUACGUGGCAUUCUUACUAGAUGAAAUUUUUUCCCGUGUGAGAAAGUGGAAAUGUUGUAGCAGAGGGCUUUCUCCUUGGAUAUGGACUUUGAAUAUAUACGUGUGUCCCAAUUACAGACAGAACCUGUUGUGGCCUUGUUGCAUCUUUAGUCUUUUUGCAAGUCUACAAAGAUUGGAGGAACUCCAUGCUAGUAGUUAAACGAUAGUAAUAUAAAUAACCAAAAGAAUGAGACUACCACUUUUGUAAUAAGGGAACCUUUCUACGAAGGACUCGGAUUCCAGUAAAAUUAAUCACACAGUUGGCCGCAGCAAUAAAUCUCGAGAUUGGACAGCCAUUGAUUUAAAAUUGGAUGAUUGUGAUCUAUAACUGUGAAGUAAUUAGAAUGGAAAAUCUGUGUCCUCUACCUAAUUCAAUAGUAUUUCUUCA